rnacentral:lncRNA from 1 species
CCGUAGAUGGCCUCUAGUUGUUCGAUUUGGGUGUUCAUCGUCGGGUUCAAGCCUGUUUUCCCCCAACGUGGCGUCUGGUGCCACGGUUUUCUCUCGAAUUCGCGGGCUGCGUUCUAAUCUGAUGUCUCCUAGGAAAACCGAUCUCGUUUCGUUUGGUUUUGCCGUUGGAUCCGGGCGAGUUUCCCCCCGUAGAUGGCCUCUAGUCGUUCGAUUUCGCUGUUCAUCGCCGGGUGCAAGCCUGUUUUCCCCCAAAAUGGCGUGUGAUGGCACCUGUUUUCUCUCGAAUUCGCUGCGUUUUCAUCUCAUGUCUUUAGGAAAACCGAUCUCGUUUCGCCUGGUUUUACCGUUGGAUCUGAGCGGGGUUUCCCCCGAAGAGGGCAUCCAGUUGUUCGAUUUCCUCUUCAUCGUUGGAUCCAAGAGUGUUUCCCCCGAACAUGGCUUCUGAUGACAUGAUUUCCUCCCGUACUCGCUGCGUUUUGAUCUGAUUUUUUCGCGGAAGACCGACUACCUCGUCUCGCGUGUGUCAAAAAAACGUUGGAUCCAGGCGUGUUUCUCCCCGAUUAGCUGGUGCGGUGAACCGAUUUCGUCUCGGAUUAGCAUCUCUUGCAAGCACAGAAGGGUUUCGUUGGUGUGUUUCCUUGGAUCCGAGGUUAUUUUCCUUGUUAGUUUUGGUUUGUUGUUGCAAACCGUGUAGUUUCGUUCGAUUCAUGCAUGUUCGAUACGGAGCAAGUCACUCAUCUGAUUGGGUUUCCUCUCCAUUUGAUCUAGUUCCUGUUUCUGACUGUCCAAUCGUUUUAUUUCCUUUCUUCAGGCAGUGCUCCAGGAUGAGGCUCAAGCAGGACCCUGUCUACACCCGCUUUGGUGCGACCCAUGUUUUCCUGGAACCUUCUGGUAAUCACGUUGCGCUUGUUUACUUCAUCUGAACACUGUUCAUUACUGGCGUUUUUGUUCGCUGCUUGAUCUUUGAUCAACAUUUUUUCUUCGAUUGCAGAUGCGAUGUUUGACCUGAGACCUACCCGCCCUGCCCCUUCGUUCACCAGGCGCAAGAAGGUGAACC